GCCCCAGGACAGAGGCAGGGACUGCUGAACUCUCUGCUUCUUAAAACUAUGGUUCAGAGUAGACCCACCCUCAGAGAGAACCUGAGCCAUGGGAAGGAAUCCAGGCAGAGGCAGCGAAACCAAAAAAAGAACAAUUCAAGAGUGAAGAACUGCCCCCCGCCUCUGCUUCCAUUCCAUGAUCCUGCGGCUUUGAAACCUCUUCCCACAAUGACAAAGGCAGAGAACACCACCUCUGCCUCCGCUCUGUUCUAGCAUGGAUCUGGAACAUCUUCGAAAAACUGAGGCCGGGCCCCAGGAGAGAGGCAGGGAGCUGGGACUUAGCCAUGCUCAGAAGACCCCAUCGAAGGGGGAAGGAAGAAGAAGGAGAAAGGCAAAUUGGUGCAAAGAGGGAGAGGCAACGGCCUGAUGACCCAGUUCCCAGAAAUCCCCAGCCCAGACAGCUGUGGGUGGAGGAACAGGUAGAGGGACUGACCCUUCAGUGUGCUGGAAGUUAAAGGACUUUGCGCUGUCUCUUUGUCUCAGACAGUGGAGGACAGACUAGUAAGUCAGAGGGCUAGAGGGUCAAGACAUUGGUCAUCCCUUCUCCACUGCUCUGAUGCUAUCCCUUUGAUGUGUAGAUUGCUAAUCUCAGGGACUUCCCUCCUUCCUCUCUCUUCCUACCUGGCCUCCUACCUUGCAACACGGCAAGCUCCUCUCCCUGCACCAUGUGUGCAGAGAGGAUGCAGAAUCCG